GGCCGUCACUACGAUUGAUGACUCGGUGAAAAUUGGGACUGUGAGUCCGUUUGCUUUAUUGCGAGUGGAUUUAUGGGAACUUUUUUUAACCUCGCCAUUUAGAGGAAGGUGAAGUCGUAACAAGGUUUCCGUAGGUGAACCUGCGGAAGGAUCAUUA
rnacentral:rRNA from 1 species